CACCGCGGUUAUACGAGAGGCCCAAGUUGACAAACAACGGCGUAAAGAGUGGUUAGGGGAUUUACUAAACUAGAGCCGAACGCUUUCAAAGCUGUUAUACGCACCCGAAAGUAUGAAACCCAAUUACGAAAGUAGCUCUACCUGUCCUGAACCCACGAAAGCUAAGAAACAAACUGGGAUUAGAUACCCCACUAUGCUUAGCCCUAAACAUCGAUUGCACCAUACACUCAAUAUCCGCCCGGGAAUUAUGAACGUCAGUUUAAAACCCAAAGGACUUGGCGGUGCUUAACAUCCACCUAGAGGAGCCUGUUCUAGAACCGAUAACCCCCGUUAAACCUCACCCUCUCUUGUUUUAUCCGCCUAUAUACCACCGUCGUCAGCUUACCCUGUGAAGGUCUUACAGUAAGCAAAAUUGGCACAGCCCAAAACGUCAGGUCGAGGUGUAGUGAAUGAGGGGGGAAGAAAUGGGCUACAUUUGCUAAACAUAGCAAACACGAAUGUUGCAUUGAAACAUGCAGCUGAAGGAGGAUUUAGCAGUAAGCAGGAAAUAGAGCGUCCCGCUGAAACUGGCCCUAAAGCGCGC
rnacentral:rRNA from 1 species